CAAAUAGCCCUAAGUUCUAGUUUCGUAAUGCGUGUUGACAAAAUUCAUACUUAAAUCUGAAAAUUGUUCAGUCUUACUAUGUCUUUUUCCUGUAAAGUAUCCAAUAUUAAACCCUUCAAAUGUUUGCAGCUCAUUCCAAGAGUUAUUUGCAGAGGAAGCGGUAUUCACAGUUCAGCUAAUCAUGUUUUACGAAGACAGAAGUUUGAUCCAGUAAAAUUCUGCAAAAGAAAUGCAUCAACACAGAGUAGUAGUGUAUUGGAAACAGUAAAUUACCUGAUAUGGACCCCUGUUUAUCAACCAAUUAGUGUAUUGUUGAGCUGUGCUGCAUACAUUAUUUAUUUCUAUUAUCUUAAAGAAGACCUUUCAAAUGUUGAAUCUAAUUUCAGAAAGAUAAUCUAUGAACAAAUUGAUCCAGGAAAUGAAGAGUAUCAGGAAGAAAUUCAUUUACGGAAUUAUAUAAGAUUACGUAUCUAUAACAACCUCCCAACAGAUGAUUAUGAGAAAAGAUUAACACAGCUUGUGAGGGAAAGGAAAGCCAAACAAAAUAAAAGAUUUGAAAGCCAAGGAAUUGGGUCAAUGGAAUGAAAAUAUGAUAUAAUGACUUUCUGACCAAUCUUUUUCUUUACCAUUUUGUAGUACAAAUGUAUUUUGGUAAUUUCAGCAUGAACAUGAUAAAUGUGACAAUUGUUAGUACUAUAGAUGUACUGUAAUUUUUAUGUAAAAUAUAAAUAUUUGAAAGAAAAUGAA